UUCAUGUGUGUUAGCCAUAACCACAUUAAAGUAUGAGAGUAGAUACCACCGUCCUUCUCUUAGUGUAUCAAUCAUUUCUUCUUUCUCUGCAUGUAGAGAAGAGACAGCAUCGAUUCGGUGUCCCUAAGAGCAUGUUUAAAAAUUUCAUC
rnacentral:sRNA from 1 species